UACAGAGGUCUCAAGCGUUGUCCGGAGUUACUGGGCGUAAAGGGCAUGCAGGCGGUCGGACGCGUUUUGUGUGACAGCGGAUGGCUUACCUAUCCGAGCAUACGAAAGACGGUUGGACUUGAGGACUCGAGAGGGACACGGAAUUCCGGGUGGAGUGGUGAAAUGCGUAGAGAUCCGGAGGAACACCGAAGGCGAAGGCAGUGUCCUGGCGAGUGACUGACGCUGAGGUGCGAAAGCCAGGGGAGCGAACAGG
rnacentral:rRNA from 1 species